rnacentral:rRNA from 1 species
CCUACGGGUGGCAGCAGUGAGGAAUAUUGGUCAAUGGACGAGAGUCUGAACCAGCCAAGUAGCGUGAAGGAUGACUGCCCUAUGGGUUGUAAACUUCUUUUAUAUGGGAAUAAAAUGUUCCACGUGUGGGAUUUUGUAUGUACCAUAUGAAUAAGGCUCGGCUAACUCCGUGCCAGCAGCCGCGGUAAUACGGAGGAUCCGAGCGUUAUCCGGAUUUAUUGGGUUUAAAGGGAGCGUAGGUGGAUUGUUAAGUCAGUUGUGAAAGUUUGCGGUUCAACCGUAAAAUUGCAGUUGAAACUGGCAGUCUUGAGUACAGUAGAGGUGGGCGGAAUUCGUGGUGUAGCGGUGAAAUGCUUAGAUAUCACGAAGAACUCCGAUUGCGAAGGCAGUUCACUGGACUGCAACUGACACUGAGGCUCGAAAGUGUGGGUAUCAAACAGGAUUAGAUACCCUAGUAGUC